rnacentral:rRNA from 1 species
UACGUAGGGGGCAAGCGUUAUCCGGAUUUACUGGGUGUAAAGGGGGCGCAGACGGCGAUGCAAGCCAGGAGUGAAAGCCCGGGGCCCAACCCCGGGACUGCUCUUGGAACUGCGUGGCUGGAGUGCAGGAGGGGCAGGCGGAAUUCCUGGUGUAGCGGUGAAAUGCGUAGAUAUCAGGAGGAACACCGGUGGCGAAGGCGGCUUGCUGGACUGCAACUGACGUUGAGGCCCGAAAGCGUGGGGAGCAAACAGG